rnacentral:lncRNA from 1 species
UUCCCUUUUUUUAAAUUUAUACCGCUUUAUAUAACUUUUAUCAUUUUUAACCCUUGCCAAUAUCAAUUAUUAAAUAGCUUUAAAUUAAACAGAAUCAUAACAGAUCCGUGAAAUAGGCCUACUGGCGAAACCACGUUAAAAACGCGCUAAGUACACUAUCUCAAAGGUGGUGUGGAAACGUGUGCGCAUAUUAUGACGAUUACCACUUUUUGAAUCGUUAUAUCUCAAAAAUGGUAGCUCUCAG